rnacentral:tRNA from 1 species
GCGAGCGUGGCGGAACUGGCAGACGCGCCAGGUUUAGGUCCUGGUGUCCAAUACGGACGUGUAGGUUCGACUCCUAUCGCUCGCA